UGCCUUACCGCACCGUGCCUUUGUGCGCACGGAGCAUCUGCUCGUUCGCCGCUCGUUAACAGGCGCCCGGGCGUAGGCUGCUCGCACUAGUGCCUUAGCGGCAUCUCCUUCCUCCUCUGCCUGAAAGAUUUGUGUUUUACCCCGGGAGCAACGCGAGUUUAAAAGCGUCUUUCAUGCAGGAGACUUACUCAGGGCCCAAAGGCGUCGUGAGUAUAUGCUGGAGCUGCAAUGGGCCACAGCUGAAGCAAGCAGGAAGGAAGGCUCUGCCUCUCGGCAAUGCAGGCAUUCUAGGAGCAACGCAGCAGGGUUGAAGGUAUUUGAAGAGAGGCCCACACUGACAGAAGUCAGCCACUACAAAUUCUGGUAUGACUGUGAGGAGGGCUGUAAGACUGAAGUGCAUCACAAGCCAGAGCUGUACUGAUACUUGCCAGGAGAUAAGUUCCACCAAGAAGCCCAUUGCAUGACACAGUCUUCUAAGAAUGUGCCUGGCUUCGUUCUGCAGAUCAGACUGAAAACUUGCAACAGCAGACAAUAAUAUUGCCCAAGGUAGAGUUGCUGGGAACUAUUCUGUUUUAUGACUUGGUUCUUCUUAACAGCAAGCUCAGGCAAUUGCAUGUGAGUUUCAAGACCAAGAGGCAUAUUUGCUUCCAGUAUUAGGGAGCUAAUCUGUCUCUAACUUGGUGCAGGGAGGCUACAUCUUUAUGGCCAGCCUCCUAAAUUAUUCCAAGGAGAGCUGGUAGGCACAUAGAGCUGACUGCCCCAAAUGUUCAGCAUUGUGCUUUUGUCACUUUCUUCACAAGUGCUGGUGUGUUUUGACUCAAAGGCAAGGGAUCAGAUCUGCU